rnacentral:lncRNA from 1 species
CCCCCUCCGCCUCUCUGCUCCCCGGGAGUGCCGGCAGUGCCCGGGCAAGGCCAGAAGCCCAGGCUAGGCCCCCUCCGUGGGCGCGCCAGGUUCUGUGCCGCGUCGUCCUUCCCCUCCUUGGGCACCGGCUCUGAACCUGCCCGGCCAGAAACCGAACCCGUUUUCAGGAGGAGCGCCUGCGGGCGUGCUGGCUCCACGCGCGGCUCUCGGGGCGGCCGGGUUCGGGCGUGUGCGUUUCCAGGCGCCUCUGUCCCCAGCGGGAGGAGCGGCUGUGGAGGGGGCCUGCUGGCGGCUCACCCCAGGCCCGGAGGGUUCGGGAACUAAACCUGCAUCUGGUGUCAAAACCCCUUUUUGCCCACCCUGGCACUGACGUUAAGCAUGCAUCUUUUUUCCCUGAAGUUUUUUUUCCGUAGAAGACAUACUGGGUAAAUUAGAAACAUGUUUGAGAAAGGAGUGAGCGGCGAACGCUGGCAUCUAAACAACACAAAAGUGCCCACGCCAGGCCACACGCCCAGGCGGCCGCGGCCUCGGCGGCGGCGCAGCGCCCCCUGGCGGCCGCGCGGGGCCCCUACCGAGCCGCCCCCGGCCGUGUCCCCUCACCUCCCCUCACCUCCCACGCUCCUGAGCCGGGAGCAGCCGGGAGGGCCAGGGAGACCCCUGCUCCCCCAAGUCAGAGCAACAGUGGGACACUUUGGGAGGAAGGGAAUGAAAGGAGUCCAACGCCAAGGUCCUGGGGGAUGCUUUCUGUGGUUUCGUGGCUGGCGCCGAAGUCAAGAACCUAGGGAAGGAGCCAACAUAAAAGAAAACCCUUGAUCCAUUUUCAAUGAAUGCCUGAAAUUCUACCAAUCCAGCAUCAUCCCUUCACCUGCAGGCUUUGAUUCCUUUUAAAAUGCAAAUGCCUCAAGGAAGGGGAACCCUUAAAACAAGGGCAGAUGGCAGGCUACAUCAAGAAAUCACCAACGUCACCAAAGAGACAUGAUUACGCCAUGAUGUGUACAUACUAUAUGGUAAUGGCGUUUAAUAAGCAGCGUUUAAUCUUUUUUUUAUUCCUGUUGUUGGUUGUCCAGGCAUCCUUUUGUACUCUGACAAGCAGUGUUUCUUCAGGAUGCCCCGCCCGCAGUGGCCAGACCCUCUAGUUCAGUUGCUCCAAGUUUUCUUACCCUUUGCAUCCUAAACCUUUCUCCAAUCAUUCUACUUCCCAUUCUCACAAUCCUGCUUGAUUGGAGGUUCACAGCAUCUUAUCGCUAGUCCCAAUCAUUGCAGUAGCCCAGUGGGAGUAUCUGGAUCCCUUCCAUAGCACACAGGGUCCUGGGGAAGUUCAAGAGAGUCUCUCAAGUCCUUUCUGUACAAUACGCAACACCACUGAAUCUGUCAAGAGGCGGCUGCCUUGUGCUGGUGGUGGGGUGGGGGGACUGUCUUCCCAAAGUCAGCAGAGAACCCCUGCUUUCGGCUUCCCAUCAUCUAUCUGGAAUUUCUCUCCUCUUGCCACUCCUCCAUCUGGCAGAAGCCAGAAGUAGGGGUGCUGGGUUUCUGAAGGACCCAGGCAGGGUCUUUCCCGCUUCUCCCCUUUGUCCUCUGAAUCCGUCUUUUUCCUGCUCAUAGGGUUUCUACUUAGCCAUACUGUCCGGUGGGAAUGCCUCCAACUCCAGAGCUUCCUCUUCUUUCAAGUGUCUCCUGCUGUAUCAGUUAUCUGUUGCUACAAAACGAGCCACCCAGUGGCUUACACUCAGUAGCUUAAAACAAUAAACAUUUAUUUGCUCAUGACUCUGUGGGUCGGCUGGGCGGUUCUUCUGGCUUGGCUCUGCUGGGCUCACUGUGUUUGUGGUGAGCUGGCAGGUCAUCGGAUGGUUUAAGAUGGCCUCCCUCACACAUCUGGUGGUUGGCAGGCUGUCAGCUGGGGUGAAAGGGUGACCCGGCCACGUGUCUCUCAUCUAGCAGGCUAGCCUACCCCAGGCUUCUUCCAAUGGCAGUAGGCUUCCACGGAUGGGAAGAGCAAAAGCUACAAGACUUCUUGAGCCCCAGGCUUGGAACGGACGCACCUUCCCUUCCACCGCAUUCUCUUCAUCAAAGUGCCUCAGCCUCGAACCUUGUGAUGAGUGAGAAAUCUUUCUCCCCUACGGGUGAAGGAAAGAGCCUGAGUCUCUGCUGUGGCUGGGGACAGGAAAUGCACCCACCUGCCAAGCUGCUGGUGACACCUGGUGGCAGCCAGGAAGCCCCAGACUCCUGAGGGAGGAGCAGUGUCCCUAUUCUCCGGCCCCCAGUUAUUUUUAGGGUUUCCCACUGCCAUGGUUGUGCUGGGGUCUCUCGUCCAUAGCUGCAAAACACUGGCAUUCUCCUGUGAUUUUUGAGUCCAUGGAUACAGCCUUCUUCCACUCCACACAGUCCGUGGAAGCCCCCCAUCUGGCUGGGGUACACGAAUCAAUCUUGGUGGGCCCGGAGACUCGAUUCCUCAGAGGCACCCUCUGCAGCGUCACCCCGGAAGUCUUGCCACACCACCCACCCCCCAUUCUCACCUCUCCUUUCUGCCUUCUUCCUUCUCUCCCACCUGCCCCUCAGAACACAUACUCUUGAAUGAGUUUAAGUUUUUCAAGAGGAAGAAGUACAUCAGCCUUGCUGAAAUAAUCGAAUAAGGGGAUACCAGCAACAUGGAAACCAGAAAC